rnacentral:rRNA from 1 species
UACGAAGGGGGCUAGCGUUGCUCGGAAUCACUGGGCGUAAAGGGUGCGUAGGCGGGUCUUUUAAGUCAGGGGUGAAAUCCUGGAGCUCAACUCCAGAACUGCCUUUGAUACUGAAGAUCUUGAGUUCGGGAGAGGUGAGUGGAACUGCGAGUGUAGAGGUGAAAUUCGUAGAUAUUCGCAAGAACACCAGUGGCGAAGGCGGCUUACUGGUCCGGUUCUGGACGCUGAGGCGCGAAAGCGUGGGGAGCAAACAGG